GUCCACGCUGUAAACGAUGGGUGCUAGGCGUCGGGGGGAGCGACCCCUUCGGUGCCGUCGCUAACGCAAUAAGCACCCCGCCUGGGGAGUACGGUCGCAAGACUGAAACUCAAAGGAAUUGACGGGGGCCCGCACAAGCGGUGGAGCAUGUGGUUUAAUUCGAAGCAACGCGAAGAACCUUACCUGGGCUUGACAUGCACGGGAAAGCCGGUGGAAACAUCGGCCCCUCUUCGGAGUCCGUGCACAGGUGCUGCAUGGCUGUCGU
rnacentral:rRNA from 1 species